AAUAAUUGACAAUGGGGGCAACCCUGAUCCAGCCAUGCCGCGUGUGUGAAGAAGGUCUUCCGAUUGUAAACCACUUUAAGUUGGGAGGAAAGGCGUUAGGUUAAUACCCUGAAGUUGCGACGGUACGAACAGAAUAAGCACCGGCUAACCUAGUGCCAGCAGCCGCGGUAAUACAGAUGGUGCAAGCGUUAAUCGGAAUUACUGGGCGUAAAGCGCGCGUAGGUGGUUCAUUAAGAUGGGUGGGAAAUCCCCGGGCUUAACCUGGGAACUGCUUUCAUAACUGCUGAGCUAGAGUACGGUAGAGGGAAGUGGAAUUUCCUGUGUAGCGGUGAAAUGGGUAGAUAUAGGAAGGAAAACCAGUGGCGAAGGCGACUACCUGGACUGAUACUGACACUGAGGUGCGAAAGCGUGGGGAGCAAACA
rnacentral:rRNA from 1 species